rnacentral:rRNA from 1 species
ACGAACGCUGGCGGCGUGCUUAACACAUGCAAGUCGAACGGAAAGGCCCUGCUUUUGUGGGGUGCUCGAGUGGCGAACGGGUGAGUAACACGUGAGUAACCUGCCCUUGACUUUGGGAUAACUUCAGGAAACUGGGGCUAAUACCGGAUAGGAGCUCCUGCUGCAUGGUGGGGGUUGGAAAGUUUCGGCGGUUGGGGAUGGACUCGCGGCUUAUCAGCUUGUUGGUGGGGUAGUGGCUUACCAAGGCUUUGACGGGUAGCCGGCCUGAGAGGGUGACCGGCCACAUUGGGACUGAGAUACGGCCCAGACUCCUACGGGAGGCAGCAGUGGGGAAUAUUGCACAAUGGGCGGAAGCCUGAUGCAGCAACGCCGCGUGCGGGAUGACGGCCUUCGGGUGGUAAACCGCUUUCGCCUGUGACGAAGCGUGAGUGACGGUAAUGGGUAAAGAAGCACCGGCUAACUACGG